GGGGAUAUAGCUCAGUUGGUAGAGUGCUUGCCUUGCAUGCAUGAGGCCCCAGGUUCAAUCCCCAGUACCA
rnacentral:tRNA from 1 species